rnacentral:rRNA from 1 species
UGCUAGUUGUGCGGGUUUAGACCCGCAGCGGAAAGCUCAGUAACACGUGGCCAAACUACCCUGUGGAUGGGAACAAUCUCGGGAAACUGAGGCUAAUUCCCAAUAACGCUCCACCCCUGGAACGGGCGGAGCUGGAAACGCUACGGCGCCACAGGAUGUGGCUGCGGUCGAUUAGGUAGACGGUGGGGUAACGGCCCACCGUGCCAAUAAUCGGUACGGGUUGUGAGAGCAAGAGCCCGGAGACGGAAUCUGAGACAAGAUUCCGGGCCCUACGGGGCGCAGCAGGCGCGAAACCUUUACACUGUACGCAAGUGCGAUAAGGGGACUCCGAGUGUGAAGGCAUAGAGCCUUCACUUUUGUACACCGUAAGGUGGUGUACGAAUAAGGGCUGGGCAAGACCGGUGCCAGCCGCCGCGGUAAUACCGGCAGCCCGAGUGAUGGCCGAUAUUAUUGGGCCUAAAGCGUCCGUAGCUGGCCGGACAAGUCCGUUGGGAAAUCUGUUCGCUUAACGAGCAGGCGUCCAGCGGAAACUGUUCGGCUUGGGACCGGAAGACCUGAGGGGUACGUCCGGGGUAGGAGUGAAAUCCUGUAAUCCUGGACGGACCACCGGUGGCGAAAGCGCCUCAGGAGGACGGAUCCGACAGUGAGGGACGAAAGCUAGGGUCUCGAACCGGAUUAGAUACCCGGGUAGUCCUAGCUGUAAACGAUGCCCGCUAGGUGUGGCGCAGGCUACGAGCCUGCGCUGUGCCGUAGGGAAGCCGAGAAGCGGGCCGCCUGGGAAGUACGUCUGCAAGGAUGAAACUUAAAGGAAUUGGCGGGGGAGCACUACAACCGGAGGAGCCUGCGGUUUAAUUGGACUCAACGCCGGACAUCUCACCAGCUCCGACAGUAGUAAUGACGGUCAGGUUGAUGACUUUACCCGAUGCUACUGAGAGGAGGUGCAUGGCCGCCGUCAGCUCGUACCGUGAGGCGUCCUGUUAAGUCAGGCAACGAGCGAGACCCGCACUCCUAAUUGCCAGCAGUACCCUUUUGGGUAGCUGGGUA